rnacentral:rRNA from 1 species
CAGUCGCCGCGGGAAUACGAAGGGGGCUAGCGUUGUUCGGAAUUACUGGGCGUAAAGCGCACGUAGGCGGAUAUUUAAGUCAGGGGUGAAAUCCCGCAGCUCAACUGCGGAACUGCCUUUGAUACUGGGUAUCUUGAGUAUGGAAGAGGUUAGUGGAAUUGCGAGUGUAGAGGUGAAAUUCGUAGAUAUUCGCAGGAACACCAGUGGCGAAGGCGGCUAACUGGUCCAUAACUGACGCUGAGGUGCGAAAGCGUGGGGAGCAAACAGGAUUAGAUACCCCCGUAGUCCCUGUCUCUUAUAU